UUACGGCCACAUCACGUUGAAACAGCGGUUCCCGUACGAUCACCGAAGUUAAGCAACGUCAAGGCUGAUCACUAUUUAGGUGGGUGACGGCUUGGGAAAAC